GACGAACGCUGGCGGCGUGCUUAACACAUGCAAGUCGAACGAAGUGGCGAACGGGUGAGUAAUACGUGGGUAACCUGCCCUCCUUUUUGGGAUAAGCCUUGGAAACGGGGUCUAAUACCGAAUAAAGGGGGAUGGGCUCGCGGCCUAUCAGCUUGUUGGUGGGGUGAUGGCCUACCAAGGCGGUGACGGGUAGCCGGCCUGAGAGGGGGACCGGCCACAUUGGGAAUGGGAUACGGCCCAGACGCCUACGGGAGGCAGCAGGGGGGGUUAUUGCACAAGGGGCGAAAGCCUGAUGCAGCGAAGCCGCGUGUAUGAAGAAGGCCUUCGGGUUGUAAAGUACUUUCAGCGAGGAGGCGUGACUCACAGAAGAAGCACCGGCUAACUCCGUGCCAGCCGCCGCGGUAAUAC
rnacentral:rRNA from 1 species